GUACGGUGCCGGUCAGUACGGAGGAUCCCAGAUGUACAACGGUGGUCAGUACGCUGAAUCCGAAUUGUACGGCGGUGGUCAGUACAACGUCGGAGUCGGACAACACAGUGGUGGACAGCAGAUGUAUGCCAGCGGUCAACAGUAUUACCCUAGCCAAACUGUCUACUAAAUACGUAACAGGAAUGGUUGAGUCCCAGUGGUAAGGAUGACGCGAUGACUGGGAAGCUUUAAAAUUACCUGUGGUUAUUCGUUGUAUUUAUUGUGUUUAAGUUUUUGUAAAUAAAAAACAUCAAAACCUUA